rnacentral:tRNA from 1 species
GGGUCUGUGGCUCAGCGGUGCAGAAUCUGUUUGGCAUGCAGGAGGCUCCAGGUUCGAUUCCUGGCGCCUCCA